rnacentral:rRNA from 1 species
UACGAAGGGGGCUAGCGUUGCUCGGAAUCACUGGGCGUAAAGGGUGCGUAGGCGGGUCUUUAAGUCAGAGGUGAAAUCCUGGAGCUCAACUCCAGAACUGCCUUUGAUACUGAGGGUCUUGAGUAUGACAGAGGUGAGUGGAACUGCGAGUGUAGAGGUGAAAUUCGUAGAUAUUCGCAAGAACACCAGUGGCGAAGGCGGCUCACUGGCCCGAUACUGACGCUGAGACGCGAAAGCGUGGGGAGCAAACAGG